rnacentral:rRNA from 1 species
GACGAACGCUGGCGGCGUGCUUAACACAUGCAAGUCGAACGGAAAGGCCCCUUUGGGGGUACUCGAGUGGCGAACGGGUGAGUAACACGUGAGUAACCUGCCCUUGACUUCGGGAUAACUUCAGGAAACUGGGGCUAAUACCGGAUAGGAAUCCUUGCUGCCUGGUGGGGGUCGGAAAGCUUCGUCGGUUUUGGAUGGACUCGCGGCUUAUCAGCCUGUUGGUGGGGUAGUGGCUUACCAAGGCUUUGACGGGUAGCCGGCCUGAGAGGGCGACCGGCCACAUUGGGACUGGGAUCCGGCCCAGACUCCUACGGGGGGCAGCAGUUGGGAAUAUUGCACCAUGGGCGGAAGCCUGAUGCAGCAACGCCGCGGGCGGGAUGACGGCCUUCGGGUUGUAAACCGCUUUCAGCAGGGGCGAAGCUUGUGGUGACGGUACCUGCAGAAGAAGCACCGGCUAACUACGUG